rnacentral:rRNA from 1 species
UACGAAGGGGGCUAGCGUUGCUCGGAAUCACUGGGCGUAAAGGGUGCGUAGGCGGGUCUUUAAGUCAGGGGUGAAAUCCUGGAGCUCAACUCCAGAACUGCCUUUGAUACUGAGGAUCUUGAGUUCGGGAGAGGUGAGUGGAACUGCGGGUGUAGAGGUGAAAUUCGUAGAUAUUCGCAAGAACACCAGUGGCGAAGGCGGCUCACUGGCCCGAUACUGACGCUGAGGCACGAAAGCGUGGGGAGCAAACAGG